rnacentral:rRNA from 1 species
GUCCACGCCCUAAACGAUGUCAACUGGUUGUUGGGAGGGUUUCUUCUCAGUAACGAAGCUAACGCGUGAAGUUGACCGCCUGGGGAGUACGGCCGCAAGUUGAACUCAAAGGAAUUGACGGGACCCGGCACAAGCGGUGGAUGAUGUGGUUUAAUUUCGAUGCAACGCGAAAAACCUUAACCUUACCCUUGACAUGUCUGAAAUACCUGCAGAGAUGUGGGAGUGCUCGAAAGAGAAUCAGAACACAGGUGCUGCAUGGCUGUCGU